GACGAACCGUGCGAACGUUGUUCGGAUUCACUGGGCUUAAAGGGCGCGUAGGCGGGCGACCAAGUCCGGGGUGAAAUCUUUCGGCUCAACCGGAAGAGUGCCUUGGAUACUGGUUGCCUCGAGGGAGGUAGGGGCAUGCGGAACUUCCGGUGGAGCGGUGAAAUGCGUAGAGAUCCGGAAGAACACCGGUGGCGAAGGCGGUCUGCUGGGCAGUUGCUGACACUGAGGCGCGACAGCGUGGGGAGCAAACAGG
rnacentral:rRNA from 1 species